UCGAUAAGUUUCAGCGUGUGGUCGUAUACAAGCUUACCCGUGAAAACUUUGUUGCUAAAAGGAAUGUUAAAGUCACUCCGUAGCUGUACAUAUUUCUUGGUCGUUUUAAAGCCCUUUUUGAGAUUUAAGUUAGAAAAAUAAUUAGACCAGCAGCUUCAGACUGAUUAGCGGCGUUUUGAACACCUGUGUAAAAAAACACGUUUGGAGUGGUCCGGUCAAAAUGGCGCUUUCGUAAGACGGGAAUGCUUAGGAACUAUAAUUUUUUGCGAGUUUUUAGGUACUUUUCCGAAUUUUUGUCGGUAGAAUGUUUUCCUCAAGUGUGGAGCAGAACCUUGGGAGUUUCCGUAGCGGAUUUAUGCCGCUCUCUGGAUAGUUUGAGAAGAAAAGUAAAGGUUGGUUUUCUGACCAUUGACCUGGCGAUUUUGGAGAAGACAAGAAAAUGGCGAGACGGUUGGGAAGAGGUGCGUGAUGUUUUGAGACGACCUCACUUAUUCUUACAGGAUUCCAGCAAAGUAUGCAGCCUUACCUGUCUCUACCAGGUGAGACACCACAGGUGAGACCUGACAACUCACCACAGGUGGCACGAUACAAGAGUAUCAGAACGUGUAUAUUAUGCGCACUAUCUCCCAGGAAUACUGACAUCAAGCAACCAAACCUAGCGUCGAAGCCUGGAGAAGAAAACCUCUGGGCCAGGGUAAAAAAAUCCACAAAGCCCCUCUCCGUUAGUGCAGAAGUCCUGAUGAAUGUCAGGAUGACUGAAAAUGUACGUGUUAUGAAACUUCUGAGGUUACUGAACUUUGGUGGUGCCAACACAGGUGAACUUUCAAGUUAAAAAUAGAUGUCAUCUUGACUUUAAAAAGAUGUUAUAAAGUAGUCUGUUUGCAGCAGGUACUGUUAGAAUUGUAAUGUCAGCUUUUUUAUCAUGCAGUUCAAAUGUACUUACGUUUCACAUUGACUUGUAAAAUUGACAUGUACAUCACUAGUUAGUCUGGCAAACCAUUGAGCCUGUGUUUAAAAAUAAUUGUACUACAAUUUGUACAAAUGCAUUGACCAAAGAACUAGCAGCAAGUAGAGCAGAUGAAAUGUAAUUCUUGAUGCAGAACUUAUGAAGAAAGCCUGUCAAAGAAAAACUUGAAGAAGGGUAUUAUUGUUGUAGAGCUUGUUGAACUAAGAAGGUAUUUUUACAAACUGACUGUGCCUUGAAGAGUCGUUGUACACUGUUGUAACUUGGGGAGAGAUUAAACCGAAUGGUUUUUGGAUGUUGAGCAUUUCGUAGGGCAGACUUAACGAUGGGAAAGUAAUUUUGUACAUCUAUUUUUAGGAGCAGGGUUUGCAUCCAUGUAUUACUAAAUGGGCGCCUUGAAAAAAUGGGGUACGGGAUGAUAGACAAGUGUGGUACUUGGACAUAUUAACCUAGAGUCAAAACAAUUGUUACAUGCAUUUUUUUGUGGCAUCAGCAGUUGGAGUAGAAAAACUUGUAAGUACUGAAGGUCAGCAGUGUUCGCAAACUUUAGCUCUUGAUUGUCGCGCAGCAGAAUUGUUUUGGAAGCGCUGUCGCCCUUAAGCCCCCUUUACAAAUCAAGAAUUUGGCUCGGCCGAG